UGUUAUGGAAUAUGGAAAUGUUGGGGCCAGUGCCAUGGUUGUAUGUUGAGGGAGUGAAACUCUCUUCUCAGGUUCAGGAGAAGGUAUUACAAGAAGAGGAACUCGUGCCCAGACAGCCCUGCUGUUGUCCUGCAUUGUUGAGGGAGGAAUUAUGUCCUAUGUGUUUGUAGUAACAGAAUCCACAGCUAAGAAAAGACAAGCUCAGGAGGGAAGUCCUUGGGUAGAUGCUAAAGAGCCUUCUCUUUGUUCUUUGUGCCAGAAGCUAUAGGUUUCUAAUUAUGAUGGCAGGAGAAGUGUCUCUUAUGAAGUGUGUCACUGUGUAUAAAAAUAUCUCUAUGUUUUGUUAUUUCUGUGUUCUUUGUGUGAUAGAUGUUAUUAGGAGCACACUCUGUCCUUCUUUCCAAGGACAUAAUCUAACUGUUUUCUGUUUCCUCUUCUUUUUUGCUUUGCUUCCCAACUUGGUGAUGUGCUGCUGUGUUCUGUUGCAAUGAAAUUCCUUCAUCUGUUUCACAUCGCAACAACAAGUUUCUCUGCAGGUGGAUAUUGUUCCCAGCCAGGGGGAGAUCAGCGUUGGAGAGUCCAAAUUCUUCUUAUGCCAAGUGGCAGGAGAUGCCAAAGAUAAAGACAUCUCCUGGUUCUCCCCCAAUGGAGAAAAGCUCACCCCAAACCAGCAGCGGAUCUCAGUGGUGUGGAAUGAUGAUUCCUCCUCCACCCUCACCAUCUAUAACGCCAACAUCGACGACGCCGGCAUUUACAAGUGUGUGGUUACAGGCGAGGAUGGCAGUGAGUCAGAGGCCACUGUCAACGUGAAGAUCUUUCAGAAGCUCAUGUUCAAGAAUGCGCCAACCCCACAGGAGUUCCGGGAGGGGGAAGAUGCUGUGAUUGUGUGUGAUGUGGUCAGCUCCCUCCCGCCAACCAUCAUCUGGAAACACAAAGGCCGAGAUGUCAUCCUGAAAAAAGAUGUCCGAUUCAUAGUCCUGUCCAACAACUACCUGCAGAUCCGGGGCAUCAAGAAAACAGAUGAGGGCACUUAUCGCUGUGAGGGCAGAAUCCUGGCACGGGGGGAGAUCAACUUCAAGGACAUUCAGGUCAUUGUGAAUGUGCCACCCACCAUCCAGGCCAGGCAGAACAUUGUGAAUGCCACCGCCAACCUCGGCCAGUCCGUCACCCUGGUGUGCGAUGCCGAAGGCUUCCCGGAGCCCACCAUGAGCUGGACAAAGGAUGGGGAACAGAUAGAGCAAGAGGAAGACGACGAGAAGUACAUCUUCAGCGACGAUAGUUCCCAGCUGACCAUCAAAAAGGUGGAUAAGAACGACGAGGCUGAGUACAUCUGCAUUGCUGAGAACAAGGCCGGAGAGCAGGAUGCGACCAUCCACCUCAAAGUCUUCGCAAAACCCAAAAUCACAUAUGUAGAGAACCAGACUGCCAUGGAAUUGGAGGAGCAGGUCACUCUUACCUGUGAAGCCUCUGGAGACCCCAUUCCCUCCAUCACCUGGAGGACUUCUACCCGGAACAUCAGCAGCGAAGAAAAGACUCUGGAUGGGCACAUGGUGGUGCGUAGCCAUGCCCGUGUGUCGUCGCUGACCCUGAAGAGCAUCCAGUACACUGAUGCCGGAGAGUACAUCUGCACCGCCAGCAACACCAUCGGCCAGGACUCCCAGUCCAUGUACCUUGAAGUGCAAUAUGCCCCAAAGCUACAGGGCCCUGUGGCUGUGUACACUUGGGAGGGGAACCAGGUGAACAUCACCUGCGAGGUAUUUGCCUAUCCCAGUGCCACGAUCUCAUGGUUUCGGGAUGGCCAGCUGCUGCCAAGCUCCAACUACAGCAAUAUCAAGAUCUACAACACCCCCUCUGCCAGCUAUCUGGAGGUGACCCCGGACUCUGAAAAUGAUUUUGGAAACUACAACUGUACUGCAGUGAACCGCAUUGGGCAGGAGUCCUUGGAAUUCAUCCUUGUUCAAGCAGACACCCCCUCUUCACCAUCCAUCGACCAGGUGGAGCCAUACUCCAGCACAGCCCAGGUGCAGUUUGAUGAACCAGAGGCCACAGGUGGGGUGCCCAUCCUCAAAUACAAAGCUGAGUGGAGAGCAGUGGGUGAAGAAGUAUGGCAUUCCAAGUGGUAUGAUGCCAAGGAAGCCAGCAUGGAGGGCAUCGUCACCAUCGUGGGCCUGAAGCCCGAAACAACGUACGCCGUAAGGCUGGCGGCGCUCAAUGGCAAAGGGCUGGGUGAGAUCAGCGCGGCCUCCGAGUUCAAGACGCAGCCAGUCCAAGGGGAACCCAGUGCACCUAAGCUUGAAGGGCAGAUGGGAGAGGAUGGAAACUCUAUUAAAGUGAACCUGAUCAAGCAGGAUGACGGCGGCUCCCCCAUCAGACACUAUCUGGUCAGGUACCGAGCGCUCUCCUCCGAGUGGAAACCAGAGAUCAGGCUCCCGUCUGGCAGUGACCACGUCAUGCUGAAGUCCCUCGACUGGAAUGCUGAGUAUGAGGUCUACGUGGUGGCUGAGAACCAGCAAGGAAAAUCCAAGGCAGCUCAUUUUGUGUUCAGGACCUCGGCCCAGCCCACAGCCAUCCCAGCCAAUGGCAGCCCCACCUCAGGCCUGAGCACUGGGGCCAUCGUGGGCAUCCUCAUCGUCAUCUUCGUCCUGCUGCUGGUGGUUGUGGACAUCACCUGCUACUUCCUGAACAAGUGUGGCCUGUUCAUGUGCAUUGCGGUCAACCUGUGUGGAAAAGCCGGGCCCGGGGCCAAGGGCAAGGACAUGGAGGAGGGCAAGGCCGCCUUCUCGAAAGAUGAGUCCAAGGAGCCCAUAGUGGAGGUUCGAACGGAGGAGGAGCGGACCCCAAACCAUGAUGGAGGGAAACACACAGAGCCCAACGAGACCACGCCACUGACGGAGCCCGAGCUGCCUGCCGACACUACGGCCACUGUCGAGGACAUGCUGCCUUCUGUCACCACCGUCACCACUAACUCUGACACUAUCACCGAAACCUUUGCCACUGCUCAGAACAGCCCCACCAGAAGGGCCCUGUAGAAGCAAAGCCAGAGUGCCAGGAGACAGAAACGAAGCCAGCGCCAGCCGAAGUCAAGACGGUCCCCAAUGACGCCACACAGACAAAGGAGAACGAGAGCAAAGCAUGAUGGGUGAAGAGAACCGAGCAAAGAUCAAAAUAAAAAGUGACACAGCAGCUUCACCAGAGCAUUUCCAACACCACAGACACACACACACACACGCACACACACAUCUCAUUUCUCUAGUGUCUUUUGCCUUUAAAAAAAAACUAAACAGAUAAAACAUG
rnacentral:sRNA from 1 species